UCUCUGGGAAGGACUGUUCUACAGCUGGAGACCCCAGUGCCAGCUGGGUGAGGGAACUUUUUCCUAUGUAUGUUUCUUGGUAUUCCCAACAAUACUUUGCCUGGUAUUGCAGAAAAAUCUUGUCUGCUGUUUUGCUGCUUCCUAGGACAAACAAUUGGAGCAGCAAUCCUCUGCCUAGGUUUCCUGUGGCCCACCAGCCCUAUCCCCAACUCCUGCUGUCAUUGCAAACUUCAGCAGAAUGACGCUGCUAGGGUGAUGCUGUUACUUGCCUCCCCAGUCUUCUGCACCUUAUUGAAUGUGGAUGUCAGGAUAGCAGAGCCUACCUGGUGCAUCUGUUCCUGGCUUCUGUCUUAAGAAACUUCCUUAUUUAUCCACGCUAACAAAUGACCCUGGUUGGAGCAGCUGUUCGGUGGGUCCCUAUACAUGCAGCAGUCUCUCUGUGCCUAUGAGCAGUGGAAAGAAUGACUCCCAUGGCCAAGCUGCCAUGUCCUUGGGGUGAGAUGGCAGCAGGGUGCUGGGCUGUGGCUCUGGAAGUGGUGGGACACAUUCUGAGCUCUGUGCUGUCUUCAGCCCUGGGAUAAUGAGCCUGGGGUUAUGUGGGCACCCGACAGGGUAGACAGAUAGGCAGAUCCUUAUUUUGGGUAGGUGGGAGGCAGGCCUGCCAUUCCCUGAAAACAGAAUCUCUGCUGAAGAGCAUUAGAUGUUACUUUUCUUUGUGCCAGUGAUGGCCUGAGGCAAUGACAGCAGCAGCAUCCUUAUUUGGAUGCAGUGUUUUCAACAGUUAUUUUAACAGGUCAGAAGUGAUGGAUCAGAACAGAAUUUAACUCAUUUCAACGUUGCUGAAACCAUUACUGUUGUGGCAUGGUGUGCAUGCAGAAGAACCUCAUUCCCCUACCAGCCCUGUGAAAUGUUCAGCAUCCAUUUGAACAAAGGAGCACACUGACCCAGCCAAGGGCUGGCUGUGGCACUCUGCAGUGCUCUCUGGAAGAAGGGAAGGUGCAGCAGAAGGCCCUACCUGGGGGCUCAGCUCCAGCCGUGAGGAGCUGGUAGACAAGCAGGCAGGUGAGAGCUGCAAACCUACGUUAUUUCUGCACCCCUGUGCACAAACAUUCACUGGCCGAGCUUUUAAGUUCUCCCGUACAAUGUAAUGUGCUUUGCUCCUGGAAUACACGUUCCCAGAGCUGAUGUCUGUGCUCCAUAAGAGCAUAUGAUGAGUUCUCUUAGUGAGCGUGAAUGCUGGUGUUGUAAGCACAGACAGUGCAGUAUUGACAACAUUUUGCUCUGGCAUCUAGUACGAAUUUCACACAAGUAUUAGAAUGACGAGCAGCUUUU